rnacentral:rRNA from 1 species
AGGACGAACGCUGGCGGCGUGCUUAACACAUGCAAGUCGAGCGGAAAGGCCCUUCGGGGUACUCGAGCGGCGAACGGGUGAGUAACACGUGAGCAACCUGCCCUUAGCUUCGGGAUAGCUCCGGGAAACCGGAAUUAAUACCGGAUAUGACUAUGGCCGACAUCAGCCAUGGUGGAAAGUUUUUCGGCUAGGGAUGGACUCGCGGCCUAUCAGCUAGUUGGUGAGGUAACGGCUCACCAAGGCGACGACGGGUAGCCGGCCUGAGAGGGCGACCGGCCACACUGGGACUGAGACACGGCCCAGACUCCUACGGGAGCAGCAGUGGGGAAUAUUGCGCAAUGGGCGAAAGCCUGACGCAGCGACGCCGCGUGGGGAUGAAUGCCUUCGGGUUGUAAACCCCUUUCAGCAGGGACGAAGCGAAGUGACGGUACCUGCAGAAGAAGCGCCGGCUAACUACGUGCCAGCAGCCGC